GACGAACGCUGGCGGCGUGCCUAAUACAUGCAAGUAGAACGCUGAAGGAGGAGCUUGCUUCUCUGGAUGAGUUGCGAACGGGUGAGUAACGCGUAGGUAACCUGCCUGGUAGCGGGGGAUAACUAUUGGAAACGAUAGCUAAUACCGCAUAAGAGUAGAUGUUGCAUGACAUUUGCUUAAAAGGUGCAAUUGCAUCACUACCAGAUGGACCUGCGUUGUAUUAGCUAGUUGGCGAGGUAACGGCUCACCAAGGCAACGAUACAUAGCCGACCUGAGAGGGUGAUCGGCCACACUGGGACUGAGACACGGCCCAGACUCCUACGGGAGGCAGCAGUAGGGAAUCUUCGGCAAUGGACGGAAGUCUGACCGAGCAACGCCGCGUGAGUGAAGAAGGUUUUCGGAUCGUAAAGCUCUGUUGUAAGAGAAGAACGAGUGUGAGAGUGGAAAGUUCACACUGUGACGGUAUCUUACCAGAAAGGGACGGCUAACUACGUG
rnacentral:rRNA from 1 species